CGCGUAGGUGGUUCGAUCAGUCGGAGGUGAAAGCCCUCGGCUCAACCGAGGAUCCGCGUCCGAUACUGUCGAACUUGAGUGCAGGAGAGGAGAGCGGAAUUCCCUGUGUAGCGGUGAAAUGCGUAGAUAUUGGGAGGAACACCGGUGGCGAAGGCGGCUCUCUGGACUGCCACUGACACUGAGGCGCGAAAGCUAGGGGAGCAAACGGGAUUAGAUACCCCGGUAGUCCUAGCCGUAAACGAUGGGCACUAGGUGUGGGAGGUAUCGACCCCUUCCGUGCCGCAGCUAACGCAUUAAGUGCCCCGCCUGGGGAGUACGGCCGCAAGGUUGAA
rnacentral:rRNA from 1 species